AUACAUGCAAGUCGAGCGAAUCAAAGGGAGCUUGCUCCCUGAGAUUAGCGGCGGACGGGUGAGUAACACGUGGGUAACCUGCCUGUAAGAUUGGGAUAACUCCGGGAAACCGGAGCUAAUACCGGAUAACAUUUCGAACCGCAUGGUUCGGAAUUGAAAGGUGGCUUUUGCUACCACUUACAGAUGGACCCGCGGCGCAUUAGCUAGUUGGUGAGGUAACGGCUCACCAAGGCGACGAUGCGUAGCCGACCUGAGAGGGUGAUCGGCCACACUGGGACUGAGACACGGCCCAGACUCCUACGGGAGGCAGCAGUAGGGAAUCUUCCGCAAUGGACGAAAGUCUGACGGAGCAACGCCGCGUGAACGAUGAAGGCCUUCGGGUCGUAAAGUUCUGUUGUUAGGGAAGAACAAGUACCAGAGUAACUGCUGGUACCUUGACGGUACCUAACCAGAAAGCCACGGCUAACUACGUGCCAGCAGCCGCGGUAAUACGUAGGUGGCAAGCGUUGUCCGGAAUUAUUGGGCGUAAAGCGCGCGCAGGCGGUUUCUUAAGUCUGAUGUGAAAGCCCACGGCUCAACCGUGGA
rnacentral:rRNA from 1 species